GGGGUAGGAGGAACUAACACAGGGGUCUUUUGAAGAUGAAAAAUGUAGGGAUUAUUGGCUUCUAUCAGGGGUUUACAAAAUGAAGCCACGCUCUUAAAAUAGCUGCCUUCGGGGUUGAUUCCGUGGGUCUGACGUGGGACUCGAGCGUCCCAGGCGAUUGGGAAGUGACCUGGUCAGCGUCUGGGUCUGGCAAGCCUCUCCCCCGCGCGCUGGGGCCUCCCGUUCCCGCGUGUGAGCGAACCUCUUAGGAGGUUUGCUUUCCUUCUGGGCGAGGCUGAGCGACGUUGCCAAGACCAACACGAACUUCUCUGGACAGCAGACCAGGGUGCGAACAGCAGCCCUGCCGCUUCCUAGCCUGUGACAUUCGCCAGAGUUCCGUAGUCCCUCAGCCUCAUCGCCCCAUCCAUAAAAUGGGGUGAGUGAUGCCUAUCUUUAAGUCUGCUCCGAAGAGUAAAUUAAACAAAUAUAGAUUAUAUAUAUCAAGCACCUAGUGCCCGCAGUCAAUGGCAAUUAGCAUUAUUAUUAAUUUUAUUGUUAUUACGAACGACUAAUGACGACUCUCAGGAUUACUGCUAAUGCUACUGUGAGCAGAAAUGUGAAAAAACAGGCUCAAUUAAAAUUUUUUUCUGAGGGGAAUACUUUUAUGAGAGGUAAAUAAAGAAAGAGGAAUGACCCUGGGCGGGGAAGGGGUGCUCUGAUCCCAUUUGAUCUUCAAACAGCUUCGCAGGCAGGCGUCAGGGUCCCAUGCUAAGACGGGGAGGCAGGCCCCUGGAGGGGCAGUGACUCGCCCUGCCACACGCCGAGGUCGCGCUGGUGCCCGGACCUCCCCCCUCCCGUGCCCCUUGAGCUGCCGCCCUGCCCUUCACAGCCACCUCAGCAAAGGUGCCCCCGGGCGGGGAGUGCCUUCUGCUCUCAGGGGCCGGGCAGCUCUGGAAACUGGAUAAAGGUCACCUCCUCCAGGCAGCUUUCCUCGCUGUCUCCCUCCUCCCCUUGUAAAACGAAACCCUCCCUCUGUUGUUCUCUGGUGUCCUGACAUGUGACUGCACACCCUGGGCACAGUGUCUCUCCUCUGGGAGUGUGCUCCUCUGAGGCAGACACUGUACCCUUUUCCCGUGUGGUAGGGUCAGUCUGGCUGUGGGGUGAAAUGCACGGCCCGGCUCGGGCGGUGGCCUCACCGCUUAGAGCUGUGAGGCUUGGAAAGGUGACUUAAGCUUGCACUGCCUCUCUUUUCUUAUCCAUGAGAUGAGAUUCACAGUAAGGUCGGCCUCACGGGGUCCCUGCAAGGAUGGAUGAGUUAAUAUAGAUAAACUUCUGGAAUCUCUAAGUGGUCGACGUCCAAUGAAGGAAGGCACGAUCACUAAGAUUCUGAAUUUUGCUUAUUAACAGAAAGCGAACCGUAAAAAGAAUGUGACCAAGCACGGGGUAAGUGUCCGGGGACCUGGUUUCUCAUGCGAAUCUGUCUCCAACUUACUGUGUGGCCUUGGGCCUGUCUCUUCCACUCUCUGAGUUUAUUUCUUCUUCUGCAAAAGGAGAAGUUUGGUCCCACAGCUCGGUGGCCUUUGAAGGGUAGUUCUCUGAAUGAGAACUGAAUGGUCAGUUCUCUGCCUGUAGGACUGUCCUUGUGUAAUCUUCCGAGUUAGAGGUCAUCCUCAGAGGUAAAUGACCCCCUCAACCCCGGAAGCACGGGCUCCCCCGCCGUCGCUGUCUGUGCUAGCCACGAUUGCCGCCGGCUGUUCCUGAGCACGUACUACUGCUGGGCUUUGGACCCAGUGCCCUCAUUACCCUGUUUAUUUUCCUGAAGAAUCCUAUGGAGAAGGCGUGACUCUGAUGCUGUGUCACAGCUGAGGAAACAGGCUCAGAGGUCGGGAACAGCUGGACAGGGCGGAGGGGCCUCGCUCCUCGGACUCUGGUCCCCUGCUGCUGGCGGGAGCCCUCCCUGCAGCGCGCCUGUUGGAUGCCUCUGGGGAUGAGGAGCCUGCUACCUGUCCAGCCCGUCUGUUGCUAGGCAUCCUGAAUAGCUGAAAAGAGCAAAGCUGCCGUUUUUACAUUUGCUUCCUGAUCUUGGACUUGGACUCCAGGCAGACGUGAUUUGGGUAGAGCUUUGAGAGAAGAAAGACUAUAAAUUCCCCCAAAGGAAGGCUUCAGGAGCAGUCUACAACUGGGUGGUCAGGAGACAGAAGGCUUCGCUCUCACCUGUCAAGGCCUGGCCUAAGCCCCCACCCACAGAAUCCCCCCGGGGGAAAGAGCCGGGGCUGCGCGGGCAUUCCACCGCAGCCUUGUUUGGGAUUGGGCUGAACUCAGAGCACCAGGCAUUGUGUCUAUAAUCACCAGCUAAUUGGGGUAUGUUCCCUUGGGGGUGGUGUGUGAGGAGCACGGGCCAGGGAACACCUUGACAAACUAUUUGCAGGAAAUCUGGACUGCACACUGAAGGGAGAAAUGGGCCCCAGGAUGCCUGGCUUGGCUUGGCUUUGUUCGGUUUGCUCUCUUUCCAGAAAACAAGUAUCCUGCUUGAGUAGCUCCAGAGCCUCGUCCUUCCCAGGCUAAAGUACACACUCCUUACGGUGGCCUUCAAGGCCUUUCACAAUUGGGUCCCAACUCACCCUUUUGGCCUCUUUCCCCACCAUAUUCCUAACCCCAUUCCCUGACAGAGAAUUCCACACAGUCGCCUGCAUGCUCCAAGAUUGUUCCUGCCUCCGGGCCUUUGCGCAUGCUAUGCCCUCUGCCCUUUGGCAUGCUAACGGAUAUGACAUCUAGAUGACAACAGUCCUGUUUUAAAAUGUGUUGGACUUCCUCUUCGGCUCCCAAGACUUUUCCAAACAGUCCCUGCAAAGAGAGCAUCUUCGCUGCCCCUUUGGAACUGCAGCCAAGCACACAAUUAAACAAGUCAGGGAACGUCCAGUGGAGACACUGAGAGUUAGGGCAUUGAGUGGGUCCCCAAAGCAUUGUGGGAAAACCAGAACCUCCUAAGGCUGAAUAUCAAUGUGGUUUGGAAAAUCUUGCAUUACUACAAAACUAAUUUAAGGAUGACCCAAGAACGUGCUCCCGACUUUGAACCAUUUGUUUGCCGUGUUGAUCUUAUACUAGAUGCCAGGAACAGGACUGAAAGGCAUUGUUAGAGAGACCUCCGCAGCUUGUUCAGAAAGUCAGCGGGGUGGGGAGGCCUCACCUGGGGCAUUUGAACGGGCCGUUUCCAUCACAGGUUUCAAUGUGCAUGGAAUGAGAUUCAGAGCCCCAUUUUUCACAACGACAAAAUGUUAGCAUGAAGCAGGGUAACCACAUGAUCUUGUUUGCCCAGGAAGUUCUGGUUUCCACCCAAUGUCCUGACAUAUUUAUCAGUAGUUCCCCUUUCAUUAUCGAGUGCCCCAGUGUGGAAGAUAAAUUAUAUGUCACUCUAGCACCAGAUAACCAAACAAGAGCCUGUCUAGGGGGUUGUCUUUGUAAGAUGUUGCCACCUGUUGACACCAGUCCACUUUUCCAGAUCUAGCCUUUGUCCACUCCUCUGUGACAGAAUUAAUGUUUCGACCCAUGUGCUGCCACAGGUACUUAACCUUCAU
rnacentral:lncRNA from 1 species